rnacentral:rRNA from 1 species
AUAAGCAAUUAUACAGCGAAACUGCGAAUGGCUCAUUAUAUAAGUUAUCGUUUAUUUGAUAGUACCUUACUACUUGGAUAACCGUGGUAAUUCUAGAGCUAAUACAUGCUAAAAAUCCCGACUUCGGAAGGGAUGUAUUUAUUAGAUUAAAAACCAAUGGCCUCCGGGGCUCCUUGGUGAUUCAUGAUAACUCCUCGAAUCGCAUGGCCUUGCGCCGGCGAUGGUUCAUUCAAAUUUCUUCCCUAUCAACUUUCGAUGUUUGGGUAUUGGCCAAACAUGGUUGCAACGGGUAACGGAGGGUUAGGGCUCGACCCCGGAGAAGGAGCCUGAGAAACGGCUACUACAUCCAAGGAAGGCAGCAGGCGCGCAAAUUACCCAAUCCCGACACGGGGAGGUAGUGACAAUAAAUACUGAUACAGGGCUCUUUUGGGUCUUGUAAUUGGAAUGAGUACAAUUUAAAUCCCUUAACGAGGAACAAUUGGAGGGCAAGUCUGGUGCCAGCAGCCGCGGUAAUUCCAGCU